ACAGACAAAAAUUUGUCAGUGUUUAUAAAUUUCCACCACGUUAUUGUAUGAGUCAUACUUGUAGUACCGUCCUGAAGUUUUUAAGUACCGUCUAGUUUUUGCUCUAUGCGCCCACAAGGGCAUAGUUAAUUUUAAAGAUCAGGAUAUACAUAUUAUGUCUAAUACAGUUACUGGUACCGUUAAGUGGUUUAACGAGUCAAAAGGUUUUGGUUUCAUUGCACAAGAAAAUGGUCCAGAUGUUUUCGCACACUUCAGCGCUAUCAAAGGUGACGGUUUCCGCACUUUAGUUGAAGGUCAGAAAGUAGAGUUCACAUUAGCUACAGGUCAAAAAGGCCCACAAGCUGAGAACAUCACUGUACUUUAAGUGUUAAUCACUUAACAAGAAAGCAAGCACUAGCUUGCUUUUUUUAU
rnacentral:sRNA from 1 species